UUAAUCUUCAUGGGUACCGAAUAAUGCAUGUGCUUGGCCAUCUUACAAAUCUAUGUCUAAGAUUCAUAAGGCUGUCUCUCUGCAUGAAUCUCUGAAUAAAUCCUGUGCAACCUUCAGUGUGCUGAUUAUUUACACCAUAGGUAUUAUAGCCAUUAAUUAACUUUGUUAGUAUUUCAGGAUUUUAACUUUUUGGGGGGAGGUUAACAACAAUGUGAUGUUUUAUUAUAGACACACAUGAGGAAGCUCGACUCAGCUUGGCUUGCAGACAGAUGAGGACGAUGAUCGUCCGUCAUACACCUAAAGAAAGAACAGGGGCAUUAAAGACACAACUAUAGUGAACGUGAUGAAGAGAAAUUAUUUGGAACAAAGAGGCUGGAGAAAAAACUGAUAUGAAGAUUUCAGAAAUUGAUGCAGCACCGCAAGUACCAUCACCACCAAUGACUAUGGCAGGAUCCUUAAGACCACCAUCAAGAUGCACAGAUGCUGUACAUUCCAGUAAACCUAUGAACAUUUACAGUCCUUGUUCAAGUGCAGUCGGAGAUCAAGACAACUUAUUGCAACUCGUCAUGUCUUUCACGACUGAAAAAAAGUUUUAAAAUCAUGUUACGUCAUAAAGCAGCAACUGUGCCUGAUUCUCACAAAUCAGCAAAACCAAAACAGACGUGAUGAAAUUCCAGAUGUAGACACAUUUGACCUUUCUUUGUCCAAUUUGAUUUGGAAAAACUUGAAAAUCAACUAAACGAGCAGCCCGAACAAAUGAAUAAACUGGUAGCCUACUUUGGAAUCAUUGGUGUUUUCCACUAAGUAGUUUGGUGUGUCCCGGGAAAGCUUUUGGCUCACUUUUUGGCUGAACAAAUUAACUGGAGCAGGGCAAACCAAAAUGUGGGCUUUCAUGCACUCUCCCUUAGGACUGUCUAUUCAAUGUAGUGAGGAGAAAUGUCCAUACCACAUCACUGAUAAAGAAGUGGAAAAAUGCAUUACAAGGUGGCUACAACGUGCUUCUGACAGGGCUGGAGGAAGGAGGGAAGAAGAGAAAGCUAAUGUGUCAAAUGUCUACAUCAAUAAUUUAUUUUUU